rnacentral:ribozyme from 1 species
GGCCUGCAAAAUCCAAUCACCACCUCCUCGCGGUGUCGGCUGGAAACAAGAUCCUCUGGAACUUGGCUAACGGUGAUGG